rnacentral:lncRNA from 1 species
CACUCUCACGUUGCUUGCAAAUUGAUUCUUACCAUCUUUCUUAUCUUUAUAAACUUAUAGCUGAAAGAUGCCUCCUCACAAAUCUCCCAGGAAUAGGAAUAAUCCUGCACCUCCACCGCCUCCAGUCCNGUCAUGGAGAUUGAUGCCAAUUCAGGUGUCAACACAGUCCGCAUCCAUCGUCUGGAAGAAGACAUGGAACGGACCCGGAGGACCAACAAAACCCUGCAGCAACAGCUGGCUGCCUCCCGUGCUGAAGUCUUAGAGCUUCGAGCUCGUCAGAGAGCUCAGGAUCGACACCUUCAAGAGGUGUUUCGCCAAGUGUCCGACCUCAGGGCUCGCCCGAGGAAUUCCCAUCGCCAUUAGAUGAUGUCUAGUACAUCUCUGUCUUUUGAUUUAGGAAUAGCCUUGAACUUAUGUGCUCUAAGUAGCACUUGUCUGUAAAAUAUUCCUAUCUUUCGAUACUCUAAUUAGGAAUCUAGGACUGUCAGUCUUGUCCUUUUGGUAUGAUGUAAGACCUACUGUUAGGUCGAUUUUCCUUGAACUUAUUACAUCAGUAAUACCCGUACUAUUGAAAUCUAUCUAAUCUGUGGGAAAAAUUUGUACACUUGUGUAUUCCUACUAAUAUUUCUUAUUGUGAUUUCAAACACUCAUUCAACUGUUGGGCUAUGGUUAGUUAGUCCAUGUGUCACUCUCACGUUGCUUACAAAUUGAUUCUUACCAUCUUUCUUAUCUUUAUAAACUUAUAGCUGAAAGAUGCCUCCUCGCAAGACUCCCAGGAAUAGGAAUAAUCCUGCACCUCCACCGCCUCCACCGCCUCCGGUCAUCGAUACUGCAGCCCUGAAUGCUGCCGUAGCUGCAGCAGUGGCAACUGCCAUGGCUCAGUAUCACUCAUCAGAUGCCAGCAGAGGUGGAACCCCUGUGGAAUCUAUUCCGAUCGAAAUCCCUGUGCGCUCGAGAGAGUGCUCCUACAAGGAUUUCACAAACUGCAAGCCGAAGCCUUUCUAUGGCACCGGCGGAGUCAUUGCUCUCUCGCAAUGGUUCGAGAAGACUGAAUCAGUCUUCGAAAUCUGUUCAUGCCCUGCUGCGUGCAAAGUGAAAUAUGCCGCAUGCACCUUUGAGGGUAAAGCCCUAACGUGGUGGAACGGCCACGUCAAAGCCCUAACUCUCGUCGUGGCUAACGACAUGGGCUGGGAAACGAUGAAGGACCUCAUGACUGAGGAAUACUGCCCGAGGGGCGAAGUCCAGAAGUUAGAACAUGAACUCUGGAACCUGGCUAUGAAGGGC